rfam:Hordeum vulgare subsp. vulgare, WGS project CAJW01000000 data, contig: morex_contig_50480
UAUAUACUCCCUCCGUCUUAAAAUUAUUGUCUUAAAUUUGUCUACAUAUAAAUGUAUCUAGUCACGUUUUAGUAUUUACAUACAUCCAUUUUUAGACAAACUUAAGACAAGAAUUUUGGGACGGAGGGAGUAUAUA